rnacentral:rRNA from 1 species
AACGAACGCUGGCGGCAGGCCUAACACAUGCAAGUCGAGCGGACCCUUCGGGGUUAGCGGCGGACGGGUGCGUAACGCGUGGGAAUAUGCCCUUCUCUACGGAAUAGUCCUGGGAAACUGGGGGUAAUACCGUAUACGCCCUUUGGGGGAAAGAUUUAUCGGGGAAGGAUUGGCCCGCGUUGGAUUAGGUAGUUGGUAGGGUAAUGGCCUACCAAGCCGACGAUCCAUAGCUGGUUUGAGAGGAUGAUCAGCCACACUGGGACUGAGACACGGCCCAGACUCCUACGGGAAGCAGCAGUGGGGAAUCUUAGACAAUGGGGGCAAGCCUGAUCUAGCCAUGCCGCGUGAGUGAUGAAGGCCUUAGGGUUGUAAAGCUCUUUUAGCUGGGAAGAUAAUGACGGUACCAGCAGAAGAAGCCCCGGCUAACUCCGUG